UAAAACCCUACCCCAUUUCCAUCCUUUCUCCGCCGUUUCUAAGUUGUCUCCUUCAUGGUUGACCAAGUAAUCUUUGUGAUUUUUGACGUGGUAUCAUUCCAUCUAGCUCCUUGAAUGCCUUUGAAGUUCUACCGCCCUCCUUGCUUACAUAUCGAGGUGUAGUCCCAAGGGAUCAUAGGUGGGCUUCGUUUUUGCUCAUAUUUGACUCCGAUUGUGCGCUUGAUGUUCCGUUUAUUCCUGGUGUCAUUAACUCCCAACUCAAAUAAUUUGACCAACAAGCCCCCUUUAUAUUAAAGUUUCUUUUAUAGCUAGAAACUCUAUUUGUAGCUUUGUUUUGCUCAAUUUUACUUCCCUCUAAGAAGCA